UAAUAAUAAUAAUACUAACGAAAUCUAUAAGGUAUAAUAAUAAUUUACGAGUUAUAUCGACCGAAUUUAUAUAUGGAGCCUAUCGAUAUACUAUGUGUAAGUGCCAAGUGUUGUGCGUAAGAAUAAUUGAGAAUAAGAGUUGUUAAAGAAUCAUAUGACUAUGAUUGUGAAUAAAUAUAAUUUCUUGAUGUAAAGUAGUUAAAAUAAGAAAUUCCUAUUACUUAGUGUAAUUUUGUAAGUUACUUAUUUUAUUGGAUGGAGAAGGAAAGUUAUAAUUAUGAUCUUAGUAGAACAUAAAGGGAGC
rnacentral:lncRNA from 1 species